rnacentral:rRNA from 1 species
GACGAACGCUGGCGGCGUGCUUAACACAUGCAAGUCGAACGGAAAGGCCUCUUUCGGGGGGUACUCGAGUGGCGAACGGGUGAGUAACACGUGAGUAACCUGCCCUUGACUUUGGGAUAACUUCAGGAAACUGGGGCUAAUACCGGAUAGGAGCUCCUGCUGCAUGGUGGGGGUUGGAAAGUUUCGGCGGUUGGGGAUGGACUCGCGGCUUAUCAGCUUGUUGGUGGGGUAGUGGCUUACCAAGGCUUUGACGGGUAGCCGGCCUGAGAGGGUGACCGGCCACAUUGGGACUGAGAUACGGCCCAGACUCCUACGGGAGGCAGCAGUGGGGAAUAUUGCACAAUGGGUGGAAGCCUGAUGCAGCAACGCCGUGUGCGGGAUGACGGCCUUCGGGUUGUAAACCGCUUUCGCUCACGACGAAGCUUUGUGUGACGGUAGUGGGUAAAGAAGCACCGGCUAACUACGUG